ACAAGCGCGCCGUAGGAGCAACUAGAUAUUCGCCAAAGAGGUAUCAUUGAUAAAUUAAAUUAUACUAACUGUUUUUUUUUUGUAUUUUAUAUAUUUGAUGUAUUUAGAUUGGCCAACCAAGGAACCGAAGAGGCUCAACGGGGAUCGUCGUGGAAGCAACUAGAUAUUCGCCAAACAGAUUGGCCAACCAAGGAACCGAAGAGGCUCACCGGGGAUCGUCGUGGGGGCUACAAGAGCGUCGUGGGAGCUACAAGAGCGUCGUGGGAGCUACAAGAGCAUCGUGGGAGCAACUAGAUCGUCGCCAAGCAGAUUGGCCAGCCAAGGAACCGAAGAGGCUCAACGAGGAUCGUCGUGGGAGCUACAAGAGCAUCGUGGGAGAAACUAGCGAGCGUCGCCAAACAGGUAUCAUUGAUAAAUUAAAGUGUAAUAACUGUGUUUUUUUUUGUAUUUUAUGUAUCUAGGAUGGCCAACCAAGGAACCGAAGAGACUCAACGAGGAUCGUCGUGAGAGCUACAAGAUCGUCACCGCAGCCAACCGAGAUCUACGCCCCUUUG